rnacentral:rRNA from 1 species
AACGAACGCUGGCGGCGCGUCUUAAGCAUGCAAGUCGAACGGCAAGGAAGUGCUUGCACUUCCCUAGAGUGGCGGACUGGUGAGUAACACGUGGGUGACAUACCUUUUAGUUGGGGAUAGCUAUUAGAAAUAGUAGAUAAUACCGAAUGUGACCAUUACAGUUAGAGUGUAAUGAGGAAAGGAGCUAAGGCUCCGCUAAAAGAUUGGCCCGCGGCCCAUUAGCUAGUUGGUGAGGUAACGGCUCACCAAGGCCACGAUGGGUAGCCGGCCUGAGAGGGUGAACGGCCACACUGGGACUGAGACACGGCCCAGACUCCUACGGGAGGCAGCAGUAGGGAAUAUUGCGCAAUGGGCGGAAGCCUGACGCAGCGACGCCGCGUGAGCGAAGAAGGCCUUCGGGUCGUAAAGCUCUGUCCUUGGGGAAGAAGGCGAAAGCUUGACGGUACCCAAGAAGAAAGCCCCGGCUAACUACGUGCCAGCACCGCGGUAAUCAUACUCGUA